CACUCCUACGGGAGGCAGCAGUGGGGAAUAUUGGACAAUGGGCGCAAGCCUGAUCCAGCCAUGCCGCGUGAGUGAUGAAGGCCCUAGGGUUGUAAAGCUCUUUCACCGGAGAAGAUAAUGACGGUAUCCGGAGAAGAAGCCCCGGCUAACUUCGUGCCAGCAGCCGCGGUAAUACGAAGGGGGCUAGCGUUGUUCGGAAUUACUGGGCGUAAAGCGCACGUAGGCGGAUCGAUCAGUCAGGGGUGAAAUCCCAGGGCUCAACCCUGGAACUGCCUUUGAUACUGUCGAUCUGGAGUAUGGAAGAGGUGAGUGGAAUUCCGAGUGUAGAGGUGAAAUUCGUAGAUAUUCGGAGGAACACCAGUGGCGAAGGCGGCUCACUGGUCCAUUACUGACGCUGAGGUGCGAAAGCGUGGGGAGCAAACAGGAUUAGAAACCCCAGUAGUCCCAUGAU
rnacentral:rRNA from 1 species